rnacentral:rRNA from 1 species
CAAUAGCGUAUAUUAAAGUUGUUGCAGUUAAAAAGCUCGUAGUUGGAUUUCGGAGCCGACCGGGCGGUCUGUCGAGAGACACGCACUGCUCGGUGGCUCUUCCUCUCGGAGGCCCUGGCUGCCCUUAACUGGAGCGGGCAGGGGAUUCGGGACGUUUACUUUGAAAAAAUUAGAGUGUUCAAAGCAGGCCGGUGCUUGGAUACAUUAGCAUGGAAUAAUGGAAUAGGGCUUGGGUCCUAUUUUGUUGGUUUUCGGGACCGAGGUCAUGGUUAAGAGGGACGGUUGGGGGCAUUCGUAUUCAAUUGUCAGAGGUGAAAUUCUUGGAUUUAUGGAAGACGAACAACUGCGAAAGCAUUUGCCAAGGAUGUUUUCAUUAA